CGGAGGAUCCAAGCGUUAUCCGGAAUCAUUGGGGUUUAAAGGGUCCGUAGGCGGUUUAGUAAGUCAGUGGUGAAAGCCCAUCGCUCAACGGUGGAACGGCCAUUGAUACUGCUAGACUUGAAUUAUUAGGAAGUAACUAGAAUAUGUAGUGUAGCGGUGAAAUGCUUAGAGAUUACAUGGAAUACCAAUUGCGAAGGCAGGUUACUACUAAUUGAUUGACGCUGAUGGACGAAAGCGUGGGUAGCGAACAGGAUUAGAUACCCUGGUAGUCCACGCCGUAAACGAUGGAUACUAGCUGUUGGGAGCGAUCUCAGUGGCUAAGCGAAAGUGAUAAGUACUCCCACCUGGGGAGUACGUUCGCAAGAAUG
rnacentral:rRNA from 1 species